rnacentral:tRNA from 1 species
CCAAGUGGUAAGGCAACGGGUUUUGGUCCCGCUAUUCGGAGGUUCGAAUCCUUCCGUCCCAG